rnacentral:rRNA from 1 species
GACGAACGCUGGCGGCGUGCUUAACACAUGCAAGUCGAACGGAAAGGCCCCUUUGGGGGUACUCGAGUGGCGAACGGGUGAGUAACACGUGAGUAACCUGCCCUUGACUUCGGGAUAACUUCAGGAAACUGGGGCUAAUACCGGAUAGGAAUCCUUGCUGCAUGGUGGGGGUUGGAAAGCUUCGGCGGUUUUGGAUGGACUCGCGGCUUAUCAGCUUGUUGGUGGGGUAGUGGCUUACCAAGGCUUUGACGGGUAGCCGGCCUGAGAGGGCGACCGGCCACAUUGGGACUGAGAUACGGCCCAGACUCCUACGGGAGGCAGCAGUGGGGAAUAUUGCACAAUGGGCGGAAGCCGGAUGCAGCAACGCCGCGGGCGGGAGGACGGCCUUCGGGUUGUAAACCGCUUUCAGCAGGGGCGAAGCUUGUGGUGACGGUACCUGCAGAAGAAGCACCGGCUAACUACGUG